rnacentral:lncRNA from 1 species
AUUUAUAAAAUUAGGUUUUUAAGAAGAUGUUAGCACUAUAAAUUAUCAAAAAUACCUAUAAUAAAUAUAAAAAUAUAUCAUUUAUUAUACCCUCCGACUUGAACUUUGCUCAUCCUCGAGUAAAGAAAGAAUUUAGAAUUAAAUAUCGUUUAACUUAAAAUUUUAAAUUUCACUAAAUAAUUUUUAAAAAGCUAUUGAUAUUCAGU